rnacentral:sRNA from 1 species
UCGUGCAAACCAAACACACAAUCGCGACAG